GACGAACGCUGGCGGCGUGCUUAACACAUGCAAGUCGAACGGAAAGGCCCUGCUUUUGUGGGGUGCUCGAGUGGCGAACGGGUGAGUAACACGUGAGUAACCUGCCAUUGACUUUGGGAUAACUUCAGGAAACUGGGGCUAAUACCGGCUAGGAGCUCCUGCUGCAUGGUGGGGGUUGGAAAGUUUCGGCGGUUGGGGUUGGACUCGCGGCUUAUCAGCUUGUUGGUGGGGUAGUGGCUUACCAAGGCUUUGACGGGUAGCCGGCCUGCGAGGGUGACCGGCCACAUUGGGACUGAGAUACGGCCCAGACUCCUACGGGAGGCAGCAGUGGGGAAUAUUGCACAAUGGGCUGAAGCCUGAUGCAGCAACGCCGCGUGCGGGAUGACGGCCUUCGGGUUGUAAACCGCUUUCGCCUGUGACGAAGUGUGAGUGACGGUAAUGGGUAAAGAAGCACCGGCUAACUCCGUG
rnacentral:rRNA from 1 species